UCAGAGAAUGGAAUGGGCGUACUUGG
rnacentral:piRNA from 1 species